UGGGGAAUUUUCCGCAAUGGGCGCAAGCCUGACGGAGCGACGCCGCGUGUAGGAAGAAGUCUUUCGGGAUGUAAACUACUUUCAGCAGGGACGAAUAAAUUGACGGUACCUGCAGAAGAAGCAUCGGCUAACUACGUGCCAGCAGCCGCGGUAAUACGUAGGAUGCAAGCGUUGUUCGGAAUUACUGGGCGUAAAGAGUACGUAGGCGGUAAUGUAAGUCUGUUAUUAAAGACCGGAGCUCAACUCCGGGAAUGUAAUGGAAACUGCAUUGCUAGAGGGCAGUAGAGGAAGUCGGAAUUCUCAGUGUAGCGGUGAAAUGCGUAGAUAUUGGGAAGAACACCGGUGGCGAAAGCGGACUUCUGGGCUGUUACUGACGCUGAGGUACGAAAGCGUGGGGAGCAAACAGG
rnacentral:rRNA from 1 species